rnacentral:rRNA from 1 species
CAGUAGCCACGGUAAUACGAAGGGGGCUAGCGUUGUUCGGAAUUACUGGGCGUAAAGCGCACGUAGGCGGACAUUUAAGUCAGGGGUGAAAUCCCGGGGCUCAACCCCGGAACUUCCUUUGAUACUGGGUGUCUAGAGUAUGGAAGAGGUGAGUGGAAUUCCGAGUGUAGAGGUGAAAUUCGUAGAUAUUCGGAGGAACACCAGUGGCGAAGGCGGCUCACUGGUCCAUUACUGACGCUGAGGUGCGAAAGCGUGGGGAGCAAACAGGAUUAGAUACCCCGGUAGUCCCUGUCUCUUAUAC